CAAAAUGAGAACUAGCUGAACGUGCCUGAUCGCAUCUGAUCUUGGAAGCUAAGUAGGGUUGGACCUGGUUUAGUACUUGGAUGGGAGACGGCCUGUGAAUACUGAGUGAUGU
rnacentral:rRNA from 1 species